GGCCUGUACAUUAAUGCUAUGGUAACAUUUAUUAUUUAUAAAGCUGUUUUGCGUAAUAUUUUAUUGAAUGAUUCCGCACAAUAAUGUGGCCGUCCUUGCAAUCAACACCGUCACUGAGCGGUAAAAUACAAACGGAAAUCUGCCGAAAUGUGCAGUUUCAUUCUGUUAUCAAAUGACCAAUUAAUGAGUGCGUCCGAUCCUUCGCCC
rnacentral:lncRNA from 1 species